GCCUUCGUGGUGUAGUGGUCAACACGUAUUCGAGAGAUCCGUGGUUCGAAUCCUGGCGAGGGCA
rnacentral:tRNA from 1 species